rnacentral:rRNA from 1 species
CCGGAAGUAUUGGGCGUAAAGCGCGCGCAGGCGGUCAUUUAAGUCUGAUGUGAAAGCCCACGGCUCAACCGUGGAGGGUCAUUGGAAACUGGGGGACUUGAGUGCAGGAGAGAAGAGUGGAAUUCCACGUGUAGCGGUGAAAUGCGUAGAGAUGUGGAGGAACACCAGUGGCGAAGGCGACUCUCUGGUCUGUAACUGACGCUGAGGAGCGAAAGCGUGGGGAGCGAACAGG